GUGGUCGCCUCAGCUGUCCCCGACUUGUACAUGGUGACAAGCGGGGAGGGCCACAGCGAGCAGGUGUCCGGGCGGAGCGAGGAGGAGGUGGGUCUGCUCUACCUGGAGUGGGUGGCCAAGCACCGGCCGUCCCGCAACGCGCUUGCGGAAGAGGCGAGCCGGUUCGAGGUGUUCAAGGACAACCUCCGCUACAUCGACGCCCAUAACGCGGCGGCCGACCGCGGGGAGCACGCCUUCCGCCUCGGCCUCAACCGGUUCGCCGACCUGACCAACGAGGAGUACCGGGCCAAGUACCUAGGCGUCCGGGCCGCCGCGUCCCGCAGGAGGAGGGCCUCAUCGGAGGGCAGCAACCGGUACCGGCUGAGGGACGGCGAUGAUUUGC
rnacentral:lncRNA from 1 species